rnacentral:rRNA from 1 species
AUACUAACUGAGUGGCGAACGGGUGAGUAACGCGUGGGUGACCUACCUUCGAGUGGGGGAUAACGUCCCGAAAGGGACGCUAAUACCGCAUGACAUCCUGCCUUUGAACAGGCGGAGAUCAAAGCCGGGGAUCGCAAGACCUGGCGCUUGAUGAGGGGCCCGCGUCUGAUUAGCUAGUUGGUGAGGUAACGGCCCACCAAGGCGACGAUCAGUAUCCGGCCUGAGAGGGCGGACGGACACACUGGGACUGAGACACGGCCCAGACUCCUACGGGAGGCAGCAGUGGGGAAUUGUUCACAAUGGGCGCAAGCCUGAUGACGCAACGCCGCGUGGAGGAUGAAGGUCUUCGGAUUGUAAACUCCUGUUGCUCGGGAAGAAUGGCUCCGACCUAAUACGUCGGAGUGUGACGGUACCGGGUGAGGAAGCCCCGGCUAACUCUGUGCCAGCAGCCGCGGUAAUACAGAGGGGGCAAGCGUUGUUCGGAAUUACUGGGCGUAAAGGGCGCGUAGGCGGCCUGUUAAGUCGAACGUGAAAUCCCCGGGCUCAACCCGGGAACUGCGUCCGAUACUGGCAGGCUUGAAUUCGGGAGAGGGAUGUGGAAUUCCAGGUGUAGCGGUGAAAUGCGUAGAUAUCUGGAGGAACACCGGUGGCGAAGGCGGCAUCCUGGACCGAGAUUGACGCUGAUGCGCGAAAGCCAUGGGAGCAAACGGGGAUUAGAUACCCCGGUAGUCCUGGCCCUAAACGAUGAAUGCUUGGUGUGGCGGGUAUCGAUCCCUGCCGUGCCGAAGCUAACGCAUUAAGCAUUCCGCCUGGGGAGUACGGUCGCAAGGCUG